GUCAGGUCUUUGAGGUCACGUGGAAGGCACAGGCAGGGGUCAGGUCUGUGAGGUCAUGUGAGAGGAACACGCUGGGGUCAGGUCUGUGAGGUCACGUGGGAGGAACACGCAGGGGUCAGGUCUGUGAGGUCACGUGGGAGGCACAGGCAGGGGUCAGGUCUGUGAGGUCACGUGGGAGGCACACGCAGGGGUCAGGUCUGUGAGGUCACGUGGGAGGCACACGCAGGGGUCAGGUCUGUGAGGUCACGUGGGAGGCACAGUCAGGGGUCAGGUCUUUGAGGUCACGUGGGAGGCACAGGCAGGGGUCAGGUCUGUGAGGUCACGUGGGAGGCACAGGCAGGGGUCAGGUCUGUGAGGUCACGUGGGAGGCACAGGCAGGGGUCAGGUCUGUGAGGUCAUGUGGGAGGAACAC
rnacentral:lncRNA from 1 species